UUACUUUGGCAGUACAUACAGUAAAAUUGGAACAAUAGAGAUUAACAUGCCCCUGUAUAAGGAUGACAGAAACAUUUGCGCACUGUUCCAUACAUAC
ensembl:snRNA U6 U6 spliceosomal RNA